CGCCCGUCACACCAUGGGAGCUGGUAAUACCCAAAGUCGGUUUGCUAACCUCGGAGGCGACUGCCUAAGGUAGGACUGGUGACUGGGGUGAAGUCGUAACAAGGUAUCCCUACGAGAACGUGGGGAUGGAUCACCUCCUUUCUACGGAGUACAAAAAGAAGUUAUCCAUACUUCUAUGACUAAAGUUAAUGGAUUUAAUAUUCGUGUCCAGUUUUGAGAGAAUUAUUUCUCUCUUUUGUUCUUUGAAAACUGAAUUAGACAUUGAAAAAUUAUCAAAUCAAUAUAAUAUUUCAAAGUUUAGAUCAACCUAUAGAAUAUUCUAAUAGACAAACAAUAGGUCAUACAUUAUAUUUAUACUAUUAAAUAAGCAAGAGUUUUUGGUGGAUGCCUUGGGUCUGAAAGUCGAAGAAGGACGUGACUACCUGCGAUAAGCCUCGUUUAGUUGGAAAUAAGCAUUUAGACGGGGAUUUCCGAAUGGGGAAACCUAAUUGAGCUAAUCCUCAAUUAUCAUACCAGUGAAUCCAUAGCUGGAUGAAGAGACACGCUGUGAAUUGAAACAUCUCAGUAGCAGCAGGAAGAGAAAAUAAAGAAUGAUUCCCUUAGUAGUGGCGAGCGAACGGGGAAAAGCCCAAACCAACAUUCGUUGUUGGGGUUGUAGGACUACUAAUUAAGAAGUUAGACAAAUAUUUACAUAUAGCAGAAUGAGUUGGAAUGCUCAAACAUAGAGGGUGAAACUCCCGUAAGUGAAAUGUGUAAAUCUUCUAGUGGUAUCCUGAGUAGGGCGGGGCACGUGAAACCCUGUCUGAAUCUGCCGGGACCACCCGGUAAGGCUAAAUACUAAUCAGACACCGAUAGUGAACUA
rnacentral:sRNA from 2 species